GGAAGGCAAAUUUGACUUUGUGUUUUGUCGCUCUGGGGUAAAACAGGAAGGAUAGGGUCCCCUGAGCCAGGAUCGGUGACAGCUGCGGAUCUUGCCUCUCUCCGCGCUCAGAAAUGCAGUGCUCUGUCGCCACCUGGUGGGAGGAGCAGAUAAUACGAGGGGUGGCCCCUUCGGAUGCGACCACUCACCCUACCACAGAGAGAAUGUUCCCAUUCCAACCCAGAGGAAGAGGCAUCAAUGGCCUGCAUGGUGUUGUGGAACCCACAGUGACUCUCCAUACAGACUGUCCCUGAGGUACAGAAGGAUGAGGGCCCUGGGAGAGGCCACAGAGGGGGACAGCAUCUGAACGUCACCUCCUGGAACUGUUGUUGGUCCCCUAAGACCGCCCUCAAAGCUCCCUCCACCCAGAGACUACUAGGAUAUCAAAGAACUUCUCUGUUCCAAAAGAUCCCACCAAAAGGAGAGAGACAGAACCAAAUCACCUAUUCAGCAAGCAUCCACUAGAUGCCUGCCCUGGGCUGAGCCUGCACCCCACAGUGCUUCACAGCCAGAGGGUCCCUGGAACGCCUACAAUUUUAUUUCAGAAAAACACUCAUUGCAAAUACUGGC
ensembl:lncRNA